rnacentral:misc_RNA from 1 species
UUUCCGUUGGUGAACCAGCGGAAGGAUCAUUACAGAGAUCGUGCCCUUCGGGGUAGACCUCCCACCCUGUGUUAUUUACGUAUGUUGCUUUGGCGGGCCGCCUCCGGGCUCUCGGCUUCGGCCGAGGUGUGCCCGCCAGAGAACCCACAACCCUGUGUUUAGUGUCGUCUGAGUAUUAUCAAAUAAGUUGAAACUUUCAACAACGGAUCUCUUGGUUCUG